rnacentral:lncRNA from 1 species
UCUUAUUGCAGAUUCUUUGUUUUCUUAAACUCCAUUUGUAUAGCUUUUGACAGGGUCUGUAUCUUCUUCAUGAGCAUAUGGAAAUAAAGAAAAUAUGUUGAUUUAAGAAUGCAAGAGAGCUAUGUUUGAACUCAACAGUACUUCCUCAAGCCAUCACUAUAUAUUACUUUACAAAUGACAGGGAGAUAUAUGCAAGGAAUAUUUAUUGUGCAAACUUUGACAAAAAUGUAGCUUUGCAUAUUGAUUUCAUUCUAAUUCUGUUCUAGCUACAAUCUUUUUAAGGAAGAUCAUAUACUUUAUUUUUAAUUCUUGAUAUUACCUUGUGAUGUUUGGAUGAGACUUGAUGCACUUAUGAGGUCAACAAAGGCAGAUCAUGAAUUGAGUGUUAGGUAUCAGGGAGCAGUUCCUUAGGUACAUGUAUCUCCUUUCUUGUUAUUUUUUUCAAUUUCUUGAACAUGAUUCAUUACAUAUUAUUAUUCUAUUCAGCGGGAUAUUUGUUCUUCUAUUACAAUGAGUGACCUAUUUUUGGAAUUAAUGCUCUUUUUGUCAUUAGUAUAUUUUAUUGGUAGUUUGGAUGAUCCAAUAUAGUUAUGUUCUUAUUAGUAUUCAUAAAACAAUCAAAACAUAUUUAAACUAUCGCGCGUGCCAAGAGCUAGUAUAUAUAUGUUGGCUAUGUUCAGACAAAGAUUGUACAAAUCCCAGAAUUUUCUUGCAUAUAAUAUUAUUGCACAUCCAAAUGAUCCAAAAUUCAUGACUAUAAGCAAUCAUUAGCCAGCACCAAGCUCAUCCACCCUAUCAAAACAAGAAACUGCACAAGGGUGGUCGAUCCCAAAAACUCAACAAAAGAGUGAGUUUUCUUUUCAAGCCUUCCAGAACAACUAAAUCCUCAUAAAAUCAAAGGGAAAAUGUUUGUUACUCCUAACAUGGGUUCUGACCACACAGGAGACAGUUGUACAAGACAAAAUACGGGUGUUCUUUUUCAGUCUAGAAUACGAGGUUCCUUACCUUACCCUAUUGAAAUGCGGAGAGAGAAUGCAUGUGUGAGCUCGCUAACACACAAUAUUUUGUCAUCUGAAUCUAGUCUUUUGAGUUUAAUAGAACAAUGUUAGUAUAAUACUAUUCUCCUCCUCUAGACGGCCUUGCAUAAGUGUUUUAUGAUAAAAUGUACUUUUUGUUGGGAAUCUACUUAAAAUACACAGCAAAAAAUAAAACAAUUUUUCAAUUCCCACUAAGGAUAUCUUUGUGUUUAGAUAGAAAUUGUGAUAAAAAAUCAUACCUUUAAAAAUUUAGCAAACCAUUUGCCAUUCUUUUCGUUCCAGCAACUUCGAUCUAUCACCCACGGCUGUCAAAUUGUCCAGCCUCUAAUGGAGAUCCACACAGAUAACAAGAUUGCAGGAUUAGAGUUUUCCUCUUGUGCUAGCAAGAAUAAUGAAUUCAUUACGAAUUGAAAACCCUAGUCAUGUAUUUAUAUAAGCCCAAAGGAGCUUGGUCUAACCCAGUCCUAUAUUUAAUUAAUCCAUUUAAUUAAAUCCGAUCCGUAAAUUAAUUAAUCUAAUUAAUUAAUUCGAGCUUAUAAAUAACUAACCCAAUUAAUUAAUUAAUUUAUCUAACGAUUGUUAAAUUGAUUAAUUAACAAAUUACAAUCUUCUAAUUUUUAUUUUUAUUUUUUUUGUGUGCGACCCAUCAGAUUCCCUGUCACAAUGCAUAACGACAUAAAAUAUUAUUUUGAUCUAAUCAAAAUUGAUAAAUUAAAACAUCAUUUUAAGUUAUAAACAAUCCACACUCGCUGUCCCAGAUUAAUAUCUAGCAAUGUGUCAAGACAUACAUGUAACACAAAAUGUCACGUGGUAUGAGAAAAUCAAACUCGUUCGUUUACCGUGAGACUAUAAUCCCUUCAUCAAUAUGAUCCGAUCAAUUAUAAGAUAUGGAAGUGUGUCAAUCUUGAUUAUCGAUCAUAUCUUUCAUUCCAUUAUUAAAUCAAUACAAGUCAAAAACUCCUUUUCGACUUAUGAGUACACUUUAGCCGAGGAUUUCGUUAUCGACUUAAUUGAAUGAAAUGCAUAUCAUAAUCUCUUACUAUUUAAGAGUGACGAAUCUUCUAUUGAUCAUUCACAAUCUUCAUACGGCUCUUGACAUACCCGAACGAUGCCGUAUUAGCGGCUCUUGACAGAACAACAUCCAACACCGUCAAAACAUGACUAUCCUCAUAUAAAGUACUAUGACGAUUUCAAGUCAAAGGAUCAAUCUCACUACCGAACGUUAGAAAUUAACCACUGACACUCAGAUAGUUAUUCAUGUGGAAUCUCUAGACGAGUCUCCAAUGUUUUGUUCUAUAACAAAACAUCAACGUGUUCAUUCAAGUGUCAACACACUUUAGCAUGUGAGAUCAGCUACUUCACAAGUAAGAAAUGUCACACGUAAUGGUCUAUCCGUAAUAACGAUAUUCGUAUCUCGCUAUUACUUACGACCACGAACGAUUUAAGAUUCAAUCAUAUGUAAUUUGUAACUCACAAUCACAAUCACAACUCCUUGCGAUUAACAAAUUACGAAAAUUUGAAUCUACAGAUUCUAUUAUUCAAUUUAAUUGUAUAUUAAUUAAAUAAUAGAUUUACCAUUAAAUUACAUUAAUUAUAUAAUAAAAAUAUUUAUGUCCAAGGUUGAUUUGACUUAGGGCCUAACACUUACACUUUUGACCAUUGCAGUGAGACAGCCAACCAUAGUCAUAAGGCUCACUGUUGUCUGAUUCUUGGACAAAACUUAAUACACUAACACCAAACUGAAAGAGGUGGAUAUUCUGCAGCCGAUUGAGUAACUAUAAUGCAGUUCUACAAAUAUAAAUCAAGGCUUUGACUUGUGGGUUUAUAACCACUUGGGUACCCUUUUCUUUUUUUUCCAAGUCUGUCAUAAGAAUGAGUUCUACCCAAUGUUCUUGUACCAUGUGAAUGUUCAACCAAGCUAAGUGAUGUCGAGGCUAUACAAGUCAUACUAGAAACACAAUUACACACCACCACUUGGGUCAUAAUGGGCUUGAUUAUUCUAGAAAUGAAACAUGUCACUACACUCAAAUUUACAGUCUCAAUCAUUAGAUUAUAAUGAGACGAUAUUGAACAGCAAUCUGGGUUCAUUAUUCUAAGAAAUCUUACUAUUCCAUAACUAAAAAACUUACUUCAUCCAGAAGGACAUAUCUUCCGCUGAAGAAAAUCUAACAGCAUAGUAAGGCAAACUGGGAAAGGACAAAAAGAAGUAUCUUCACAAAUUCUCGAGGUAAAGUUGACAGCUCUUUUGUUUUAUCCAGCAGCAGCAGCGAAUAAAUCUUCAGUCCAGUUUUCUUCUCACAAGCCCUNNNNN